AGGAGGACCAACCACAGUGGCGGUGGCCAGCUGUGGAGCCCUGGAUUCAGCUCCUGCAGUAGCUGUGGAGCUCUCAGCCUGCAGAGGCCUGGAUGCUCCGGGGGCGG
rnacentral:pre_miRNA from 1 species